GACGAACGCUGGCGGCGUGCUUAACACAUGCAAGUCGAACGGAAAGGCCCUGCUUUUGUGGGGUGCUCGAGUGGCGAACGGGUGAGUAACACGUGAGUAACCUGCCCUUGACUUUGGGAUAACUUCAGGAAACUGGGGCUAAUACCGGAUAGGAGCUCCUGCUGCAUGGUGGGGGUUGGAAAGUUUCGGCGGUUGGGGAUGGACUCGCGGCUUAUGAGCUUGUUGGUGGGGUAGUGGCUUACCAAGGCGUUGACCGGUAGCCGGCCUGAGAGGAUGACCGGUCACACUGGAACUGAGACACGGGCCAGACUCCUACGGGAGGCAGAAGGGGGGAAUAUUGGACAAUGGGCGAAAGCCUGAGCCAGCCAUGCCGCGUGUGUGAAGAAGGUCUUCGGAUUGUAAAGCACUGUAAGUGGGGAGGAAGGGCAGUAAGUUAAUACCUUGCUGUUUUGACGUUACCAACAGAAUAAGCACCGGCUAACUUCGUG
rnacentral:rRNA from 1 species